UUUUUGAUCAAUUGAAAAAGUUAGCCUCUUGCAGGCCAGUAUAAGUAACCAGUCACAACGACGCUGAAGACCUAAGUUUGCUAAUUCAUUACUAACGGUGUUUACCGUUCCUAAUUGUGAAACGCACCAAAAGGCCUUUCAACAUUGGCCAUUCGAUGACUGAAGCCGUCUUUUGUUUAGGCAAGUGGGUGUAAAUUGAAAGAAACAAGUAGACCAUUACUCCGUUAUCCGUUGUCAGUGACAGGUGCUUGUUCGUUUUAUGGUGUUUUAAUAUCCAGGUGAGUCCCCUACAACCAUUAACCAACCAACUCUCUAUGGCACUGGAAACUAGGCAGUGAAAAAUAGGAGAAUUGCUUAAGGGGACUGCAGCUGCCAUCAGAUCUCUUUAGUGGCACUUUUGUAGAAACUAUUCAAUGGACCCCAGAGGCUUGGAACAUAAGUUAGAGGCGCAGAGGACAUCACUGCAAUCGGAGUCUCAAAGACAAAGGGGAAGAAACAGAAGUGGUACUGAAAGUAGUGAAGGAUUGUCAAAGGACCAAAUUCAAGGAAAUGUUGAAAGUUGCAUUUUUCUUGAAGAGGGCCCUCAUCAAGCUUCUGAAGAUUCAGCAAGUGUUCCUGUAUCAAGAGAGAGACCAAUAAAAGUUUCCAGAGGUCCACACCACCAGGCCAUGUUCCCCAAACAAGAUUUUUCUGUAGCUGAAAGAAAGGUGUGUAGUUCCAGUGUUCCACCAAGUCCACAGGUUGCAACUGACAAAGACUGGCAAUUUUCUGCAGCAGCUGAUAUAGCCACUGGUAUUGUAGGUACAUAUAGAAAAUUGUAUGAUUCUUCUUCACACAUGCCAACAAUCCAGGAUGAAACCACCAAAAAUAUUUUGCCCUGGCAAACAAAUGAAAGUAGUGAGUUCAGAGGAGUACCCCUCAAUUUGCCCAAAACAAAUGAAAAUGUUAGUAAGUCUGGUGAUUAUAAAGGUAAAGGUUUUGUUGGUAAAUUGAGAUCAAGAAAGGCAAAGGCCAUGCCAGUGAAUGAAGCUGCUCCUCAAAGUGCUUCUGCUUCCAGCAGUCCUACCUCCAGUGUUUCUUCACCUGCUUUAUUUGAAUUUCCUUCCAGCCCCUCGACUUCAGCAAGCCCCACAACGUCAACAAGCCCAACAAGCCCUACAUCUAAAAAAAGUCCCCUUUUGAGUUUUCUCCUUGGUCAUAAUAGGUACUCCGUGAAUACUUCUGGAAGCCCAACUUCACUUACAGCAUCCCCCCCAAGUAUUUCACCUGUAGUACAGUUUGGAUCUCCAUCUAGUAGCGAGUUUUCAGAAAACCCCACUACAUCAUCUGCUAAGCUUUCUCCCCAAAAUCCUUUAUUUGAUAGUGCUCAGUCAUUAGGGUCAAGUUAUUCCCAUGCUAGUCAGAAGGAUACAGGACCCCCUAAGUUUGUUAAAAGACUAAGGAAGAUUCUUCGCUCUCCAAGAAAUUUAAAGGACACUUCGGGCACUCGUGGGGUACCUAGAGAAGCAUUUAUAACCUCCUUAGGCAGUUUGGAUAUUGCUGGCAUUGGUAGUCCUAUAUCCCCUGAAAACACUGGUGUACUUGACAUUGAAGGCCAAAGUAAGCUUCCCACCAGAGAUCCCAGUGAAUUGUCUGCCUUGGGUCAUGAUGCCCACUUCAUGGGUGACCACCAUUCACUUUCUGCAAGGGAUUGCCAUCUACCUUCCACUGGAGAUAGUGGAGAAUCUUCUCUGGAACCUUUGGGAUUUUCUCCUAGGGAUCAGUAUAGUUUAUCUCCAGUGCCUCAUGGUCUGCCCCUUGUCUCCUACACAGAGAUUUCCCCUGGAACACACACCAAAGUCCUCUAUGAUGAAUCCUCCCCGGGGGAUGGUGGUGGUCGUUCAUCCAAAGCUAAAGCCAAAGGAAAAGGAAAAAAAGGAAAACAGGGAAAAGUGAAAAAAAUGAAAGAAUUUGAAAUGCAUAAAGAAUCUGAAUGUCAUCCUUCAGUACAUUUAGGUCAGCCAGAACUUGCUGUUUAUCAGCCAUCAGAAAAUCUGCCUAUUGAUGAAAGAAAUAUUGGGUUUAGUGAAACGCCACGAUCAUCCACAUCUAGAACAAGUCUGAGAUCAGCUAGUGGCAGGAGGAAGAAUGCUAAUGUGUCAAGGAAGGCAGAGACAAAAGAUGCCUCGCCCAGGUCAGAAGCUGCCUCGCCCAGGUCAGAAGCUGCCUCGCCCAGGUCAGAAGCUACCUCGCCCAGGUCAGAAGCUGUCUCUUCCCCUAGUUUGUCUCCAGGACAGCAGAGCUUUGGGCAAGCAAUAAGUCCUCCUUUAGAUGACCAAACUCCAUUAUCUUUAUUUGUACGUGUUUUUGACCUUGCACAAUUCCAGCAGACUACAAAGAGUGCGGUAGAGUAUGAGUGUGAACUGAAACCCCCUGAAAAAAGCACAGUACAUAUGUUAGCAUCAAAAAGCUCAGAUUCAUCAGGUAUUGUUAAACACAAAACUCGUCAGUUUUCAGACCCAAGACAGCUGGCCCCUUUCUCACCUGUUCAGCGUGAAACCUCAUUUUCAGAGCCAAGACAGAUAAUUACUACUUUAAAAAAUCAGUCUCGUCGUAGUCAACCGUAUCAGACAGGUCCUCAAGAUUUUCAAAGAGGAUUUGGUCAACCCUCACAAUCAUACCAUGGUGUUGCAGCUGAGCAGGAGGUACCUGUACAGGAUCAAAUAGAAAAUUUAACGUCUGAUAUUUCUGGUCAUAGGGAAACUGGUCAAGCUUACUCAUUAGUACCUCCAUUCACCCAGCCUCACCCGAGUAUGCAGCCAUCCAGACAGCAUCAAGGGUUAACAACCCCCAAGCCACCUUUUCCUCUCAUUUCCUCACAGAGUUUUCAGCAAGAGGACUAUGCUGUAGCAACACAAGGACACACGUCAAGCUCUUCAGUGCAGAAAUUUGAUGAAGUCCCUUUUUCAAGUUCAUCUUAUGAAUCCUCAUCAUCUCUUGACUUGACCUCACCACAACGGUACAGGCAAUCUCAACAACCAAAAACAAGUGUGAGACAGAGAUUGCCAGUUGCUGCAGCCAGUCGGCCAAGUCGUUCAGUGCAACCCCCACUACGAUCUCCACUUAAGCAGUCAGCACUUGCACUUCAGCGAAGAGGGGCCUUGUACUCGGAAAGCCAAUAUUCAACAGAGUCAGUUAAAGAUGACAGGCCAUUAAACUUGACACAAGGAAUACCAGCUCCCAGCCAUUCAAUACAUGAGUCAUCUACCAGUUAUCAGCCUAGUUCAUCAGGACAAGAGUCUCAUUUAGCAUUUCCUAGUGAAUUUCUCUCUGAAAACCAGUCAUCAAAUCAACCACUUGUAGAACAAAACCCAAUGUUGAAUUCUCUAUUAGAUAGAUCACCUGUCAGAAGAGUUGAUACUGAUGAGGGAAUGGCAGUUCUUAUGGCACAGCAGUUGGCCGUACAGUCUCCACAGAAACAAGCAUCACAAGAUCGAGAAAGACUGGGUUUUAGCUCUGGUCAGGUUUCCACUCCAAACCCUGUGGUGGGCACAGCAGCUGGGAUACAAGAAGCAUCUACUUCAAGUCUAACUCCUGUAAUGCUUCAGUCAAGCUCUUCAGAGCGGCCUUUCCCUGUGAAGUCUCAGAGUAAAUCUCCUUCACAUCGCUAUCAGAGGCAUAAGUCUCGCUCUAGAAGUCGGGGAUCCUCCCUUACAAGGGCAAUUGCCAGACGGCAGGCUGCAUCUCAGCUAUCUUCAGAAGAGUCGGAACGUGACUUGAGCCAGAAGAGAGAUCGACAAGGAGAUGCAUCAGAGUAAAAGGUAUAGAUUACAUGGCUACGGUUGAAAAAAGAACCGUAUGUUGAUACUGACAAAAAAAAAAAAAAAUCCAAAGCUGAUGCCAAAUCUGGUACUGAUAAAUGUAGUGUAGAUGCUGCUGGUGCCUGUAAGUGUUGGCUGCAGUUAAUCAAAGCAUCUUGGUUCCAGUCCAGCAGAAUCAUUAUUGGUAAGUCUCCUCAUCUCCAAAGGUGCAGAAGCAUUGAACCUACAGGAUUUGACACAUCUGAAAUAUUGACGAUAAAAAAAGUUCAAGUGAGGAGAGAGCGCUUCCACAAAUUUCAUAUUUUUAAUUGGACGAUUUUACAAUUUUAGGUGGGGACUCUUGAGUUAUAAAGUUAUUGAUUUUUAGACAUUGUAUAUAUUCCUAUUUAUAAAGUUAUUUUCUAACAUUGUUGUUGGCAAUUUAUAUUUUUAGGCUUUUAAAAUUUUUGUGAAAUUGUUUAGAGUUCAAUUCCAGUAAAUAGCCGUUUUUGCCUUUAUCCACUUCAGAUCAGACAUCUUAAUUUUUUGUAUGCUGGUUAACACAGAAGCAUUUAGAAAAUGUGACUGUUUCUUUUUGAUAAUGUUUUUGAACUGAGACCACUGGUCAGUAAGGUAAUUUUAGAAUGGAGCUUGUGUUGUAUAACUGUUCAUUUUUACCGAAAUAUUUGUGUGAUUUAUUUUUUACAUGUGUACAUAAGCCCUUUUGUUAGUCGAUAGUCUGUAUGCAGUUACAGAUUCAAUAUUUUAUUAUGCAGCAUACAAUAAAAAAAUAUUUUUUGAAAAACUUUAAAUGUCUAACCACAAAAGCAUUGCACAGGUUAGUUAGAAAAGGAAUUACACACCUGGUUUGGUUGUGCCGUGGUAGUGAUUUU